AACGCAACUUGCGCUCCUUGGUAUUCCAUGGAGCAUGCCUGUUUGAGUGUCACGUAAACCCUCACCCUUGCAAUGUCAAAAUUGUCUUGUGGUGGAUUUGGAUUGUGCCGUAAUUGGCUCAUCCUGAAAUGCAUUAGCUUGUGCUUUUUACAGUGCUCGGCAUGGUGUGAUAAUUAUCUGCGCCGUCGCCUUAGGCCUGUUCUACAUGUGCAGCUUCUAAUCGUCCCUUGUGGACAACUUUACUUAACGCUUUGGCCUCAAAUCAGGUAGGAUUACCCGCUGAACUUAA
rnacentral:misc_RNA from 1 species